rnacentral:lncRNA from 1 species
CUGCCUCCUGUAUUUUCUCGGCUUCCCAUUGGUCCUUUCACUGUCACUCAGACAGGACUUCUGGUCCCACUUUCCAGCCACUAACCUGUACUUCCUGUUUCAUCCCUGCUACCAGGAGCUGCGCAGAGACUGCAUUUUUAAGAAUAUCUACCUAAAAUACUAAUGAAAGAUCUUUUUCUGGCAAAAUUUAAUUCCACAGGCUUCUACAUUCCAUCCCUGAGACUAACUUUUUCAAAAUUUCUAAGGUAACUUACAUUUUUCUCUUUAUAGCUGUAUUAUUAAGAAAAAUUGCAGAGAUAAUGUAACAAUUAUAAGACAUACAUAUGCUUCUUUAUAUUUUGCUUUUAAUUUUGAAGGUUUUGAGGAGGCAUUUGCUUGUCACAGGGACAAAAGCCGGCAAUGUCCCUGUGAUAAUCAAAGAAUCCUCAUUCUGAUUCCUGAGUAUAAAAUUACAAGACAUAAGUUAAUGUAUACAGAAGGAUCUUAAUAUGUUACGUCAGAAAUAUAAAACAAUGCACUACUAAUCCAAGAAAAAUUAAAAUGGAUCCAAAUAUCAUAAGAACCACGUGGUUGCAUAAAGUUAAUACAAUUAUAUAAGUUAUGCUCUUAUUCUUUAUACAUAUUUUUCUAGCGAUUUGGAUAACCUAUGGUUGUUAAUUCAUUAAUAAUUAG